rnacentral:misc_RNA from 1 species
CCUCUCCUUUGCAGCAAUAAAUAAGUCAUGUAUAGGCCCAUACAUAGCAUUGUGAUUUGUUCUGUUAGGAGGCUGUGGGAAACUCGACAAGCCCUCUUUUAUCCAUCGCCAUUGUUCCUCAAUGCCCAAUGCUCCAGGAAUGAAAGAAAAACCGGGGCAAUUUUGCAAGCGGAAGACGGGACGGUCAAAACCGCAUUGAAACGCGACAAUUCCAGGAGGAAGAUCACCGUUCUGGUCGUAAGAUUCCG